GAGUUUGAUCGUGGCUCAGGAUAAACGCUGGCGGCGCACAUAAGACAUGCAAGUCGAACGGACAGAAUCCGAAUGUUUCAUUUGGGGGAUGUUAGUGGCGGACUGGUGAGUAACGCGUAAGGAACCUGCCUAUUAGAGGGGAAUAACAGUGAGAAAUCAUUGCUAAUACCGCAUAUACCAUAAUAGUUGCAUGACUGAAAUGGGAAAGGAGAAAUCCGCUAAUAGAUGGCCUUGCGUCUGAUUAGGUAGUUGGUGGGGUAAAGGCCUACCAAGCCGACGAUCAGUAGCCGGACUGAGAGGUUGAACGGCCACAUUGGGACUGAGAUACGGCCCAGACUCCUACGGGAGGCAGCAGUCGGGAAUAUUGCGCAAUGGAGGAAACUCUGACGCAGUGACGCCGCGUAUAGGAAGAAGGUUUUCGGAUUGUAAACUAUUGUCGUUAGGGAAGAGAAAGGACAGUACCUAAGGAGGAAGCUCCGGCUAACUACGUGCCAGCCGCCGCCGUAAC
rnacentral:rRNA from 1 species